rnacentral:rRNA from 1 species
CAGUAGCCACGGUAAUACGGAAGGUCCAGGCGUUAUCCGGAUUUAUUGGGUUUAAAGGGAGUGUAGGCGGUCUGUUAAGCGUGUUGUGAAAUUUAGGUGCUCAACAUCUAACUUGCAGCGCGAACUGGCGGACUUGAGUGCACGCAACGUAUGCGGAAUUCAUGGUGUAGCGGUGAAAUGCUUAGAUAUCAUGACGAACUCCGAUUGCGAAGGCAGCGUACGGGAGUGUUACUGACGCUUAAGCUCGAAGGUGCGGGUAUCGAACAGGAUUAGAGACCCCCGUAGUCCCUGUCUCUUAUAC